AAGCCUAUCUGUGACUAUAAAGCUCAGGUAUGAAGGACUCUGGCUUACCUUAGUAAGUACUGGAAAAGAAACCUUGGUUUCAAAAUCUCCAUGAGACCCUCUACAGCAGUGGUUCUCAGCCUGUGGGUGAUGACCCCUCUCAGCAUCGAAUGACCUUUUCACAGGUGUUGCAUAUCAGAUAUCUAGUGUAUCAGAUAUUUACAUUAUGAUGUGUAACAGUGACAAAAUUACAGUUAUGAAGUAGCAACAAGAUAAUUUUAUGGUUGGGGGUCACCACAGCAUGAGGAACUGUAUUGAAGGGUCACAGCAUUAGGAAGGCUGAGAAUCACCGCAGUGCUUACAUUCAGGACACUCAGUGUCAUUCUGAACUACUCUGCAACACCAGGACAUGCACUGUCUCCCCCCUGGACACAAGGAGAGGUCCCAGGGCCUCUCCCCAGAAGGCUUCCCACAGCAGCCCUCCAGCUCAGGCGGUCCUGAUGGCAGGAGGCCAGAGGAGGGGGCUGCACCUCCCGUCGCAAAGACCCGUUAGAUCUCUGACCUAGAUUCUGAAAAUAUUCAAGGAGAAAACAGGGACACCAACGCUGGCUGCCGCUCCCUUCAGCGAGCCCUCAUUCCCCCCUCCAUUUCAUUUUAGCUGCAUUUGUUCGAGCAGCAGGUGAAGCGCCUUUCAAAAGACCGUCAUCUCCGAGGGAAGUCAUCUGUUUUACAUUAAUUGUCCAUUAGUCUCCAAGCCUCCAUCCAUUAACAUCCUCAGCCACUCAUUACGGAUAUUGUGCCCGGGUCCCGCUGUCAGCUUUUCAAUGCGGGGCUGUUUUCCUGCAUCUGACUUAAUUGCUCUAAGUGCCUGUUUCUUUGAGCGUACCAAUUAAUGUGGGCUUUCUUCUUGGGCUAGCUUGGACAGGAAUGCCAAGGUACUACAUUUGAACCUGGUACCCAUAAAGGUCAGAAGAGGGUGUUGGAUCCCCUGAGACUGGAGUUAUGGACAGUUGGUUGCUAUCGUGUAGGUGCUAGAAAUUGAACCCAGGUCCUCUGCAAGAGCAACAAGUACUUUUAGCCACUGGGCCAUCUCUCCAGCCUACUUCCUCAUUUCUUAGUGAUAAAAAUCCCAGCAUCAAACAGCCAUUCCACACCAACCCGACACAAAGGAGAGGUUUUAGCUCAGGUGUGAGGGUUAAAUCCCGGGGGAACUAGACUGUGAUCACUUUCUCCUGAUAGGUUUAGUGGUGAGUGUGUCACGUGCUCUGGCCAAUGUUGUUCUUAUGAACAACCAAAUGCAGUGGGACUCAUGGGAAAGUCCUUGUUUCUGGAAAAACAAACAUCAGAGGCUGGGUUCCCUGUGAGCUCUCCUGGUACUGGACAUUUCAUGUCCCAUCACUGGAUGUUUCAUCUAGGGAAACAACACUCAUCCUGUUUAUGUAAGAAUGGCCUCAGAACAGAACUGGUACCAGUACGAGGCAACAGAAUUGAGCAGGCAGGACCCUAGGUCCUCGUAUCACUGAGACAACAUUCCUUGUAACACAAGCCAGCUUAACAGUAUUUUCUGUCUUUUGAAACCCAAAUCUUUUCAACUGACAGGUGCCCAUUUAAGCUCGGCUAUCCACGGCCAUUGUUUUCAUGUUUGAAAUAGCUUGUGUGCAGCAGCGGCAGGAAUCUAAAAACUACAGCCCUUUGCUCACAGCCCCACCUCCUCCUGCACCCCACGCAUGCAGUGGCAUGCUGAUCUUUCGUGACAAUACAUCAGAACCACUCAGGAAAGUGGAAGACUUCAGCACAUGCCCAGUAAGACUGCCUAUUGAGCAUUUCUUCACCAAGUAGCAGGUUUUGGAACGAAAAAAACAUUCCACUUACUUGCUUUCAAAAGAUCUUUAAACAAUCGUGUGUGUGUGUGUGUGUGUGUGUGUGUGUGUGUGUGUGUGUGUGUGCGCGCGCGCGCGCGCACGCGUGUGUGGUUGUUGUUGAGACUCAAAUCUAGCUCCCAGCAUGUGUAGGGCAAAUUCCCUAUCACUGGUCUAGAUCCCUAAAAUUACUAGAGGACUUAGACUUGCUCAACCAUUAGAAGGACUGGGUUAAUAAAGAAUAGAAGAAACCGAGAAGUGCAAAGUUCUCAAAGACCAUUGGAGCUGCUGAUGUGCUCCAACUGCUCCAACUGAGCUUCUCCAGAAAACAGGGAUCCAACUCAUUGCUCACAACGGACACCAGAGAAAGAUGGCUUUUCCUCCUUCUCCACGUUGAACAGCUCCUGGGGGUGCCUCUCCCUGGUCAAAUCUACCCUGGGAAGCACAGUGGGCGAAGAACUGGGAAAAGAGAUUCCUAGUGAUGAGAGCAAGGAGAUUCUCCAGGAUGGAGCUUCCCACCUGGGAUGGGGUUCUCUUUAAGGAAGGAAACCCAGGCUUCAGGGGGAAAAGGUGGGAAGGAGAUUUAAAAACAAAACAACAACAACAACAAAACAAAUCAACAAAACAGUUGCCAAAAGGCCCUAUUUUUGACAGUGAGAGAUCCCAGAGGGCAUAAGCAGAUCAAAUGUAGCACACUACUGCCUGCAAUGAUUGUCAUAGCAACAAGAAGUGAUGCUAACUUUUUUUUACAAUUCUUUCCUUAUUGGUUGAAUGUAGUUAAGAGAUAUAUCCAAUCAAGGCUAAGCUGGUACUCGAUAAAUCUCAUAGUCCUCAGGAGAAGGCUUCUGGCCUGCCAGGGAGCUCACUCCUACCAUACUAAACAACAGUCACUGGCAGGGGGACUCAUUCCUGCCUCCACCACCAGAGCUCUGGGACUCUACUUUUCAAUAACUGCAAGAGACAGGAAACCUGGACCUGCCACUCCUAUCCUGACCUGCAAAUUUGCUCUGCAAAGGUCUUCCCUCAGCUGGCACCCAAAGCCCCGGAGGACUUCUAGCUGUCACACUUUGCAGGGCUGUAACAUGGCCCUGGGGCUUCCCAUUUCUACCACCCCUGCGGAGAAGUCAAGCCUGUUUCAUCCAAAUCUCCGGAGGCCAUCUGUUUAAGAGUUGUUCAUCCCUGGUUGAUAAUAAAGUACCUCCUGUUUGUACUGUU